rnacentral:lncRNA from 1 species
UUAACUUAGAUAUAAAAGGAAACCCGGAUCCUUCGGGAUGACACCCCCCACCUCUUGAGGGUAUGGAGGCUCUAGAAAUGCCCUCCAACGGGCGUUACGACGACUUCUCGGCCUCUUAGGUCGAAAUGAAGCUUAGUUGGCCUUGUUUCGCCAAUAUCUUUUCACCCGUUUGACGAAUGAAAAAUCCGACUUCGCCCCCACGUUUAGGCAUCUAGCAAUUAGAUUUACAAGGCCUCAAAUGAGAUCAAUCUCAUGAUUUACCAAAAAAACUAUUUUGGAGCCCUAGGGUACACAUCUUGCUAUUUGCCAUUUGGAACCCUAGCUCUAGCUUUAAUACACAAACAAUGGUGCUAGAGGUCCAUUUCACCCAUUUUCCAAAGCUCAAAACCCAAAAACCCUAAGUUCCAUAAGCUAGGGUUCAAGAGCUUAUCUCUUGAACUACUCCAAUGGUGAGGAGAGGAAGAGGAAGAUGCUCCAAGCCUCCUUGAGCUUGAUCUUCUCCUCCUUCUUCUUCUCUUUUCUUCUUCUCCUUCUCUUUUCCUUCUAGAGAGAGAGAGGGAGCAAGAGAGUGUGAGAGAGGGAGAGAGAAAUGAGAGGCUGAGGGAGAGAGAGGGCCCAUAUGCCUCUCUAAUGUAACAAUAUCCAGAUUAGCCCCUCAACUUUUGUCUCCAUGCACUGCCCUCACUGGGCAUUCUGCGCCCAGAGGGACCGGUCUCCCCGACCUAGGACCGGUCCCCGAGAGCCUCAGCCUGGGUCACGCGUUCGGGAACCGGUCCUUCCCUGAGAGACCGGUUCCCGGGAGACCGGUUCCCUCUUGAGAGACCGGUUCUCGAGAGCUGGGAUUUCGGGACUUAGCCAAUCUUGGCUUUUCUCGCUCGGUCACGUUCGGGGACCGGUCUCUCCCUGCCAGGGAUCGGUUGCCUCAAGAAUCCCCGCAACCACCAGCCGAUGGGAACGGUCCCCGAGAGCAAUUUUGCUCCUGUACAGGUUUUGCACUAUUCGCUCUCGUGGACUCAUUUUUAAUGCACUUUUGGUGACUUUGACAUCUUUGGCUUUUCCAAAACUCACCAACCCGACCCUUGGUCGAUUCUGGAUGAAGUCUAACUCUCGUAUUUCGAGAAUUUACUUCCUUACAAUAGGUGGAUUCCCGACUGAAUAAUAGCCCUAGUGGAUAAGGUAUCCUCGAGUUGAGAGGAUUGGAUCAUACUCACUGUCUGUUCAGAGCUUGUGGUGGUCGCUCCACACAAGCGUGCGCUUUGAAGUUUGUCACACGAGGGAUAGCCUUAUAGGGUCCAACUGUAACAUACCACAUCCCUCGUAAGUCGUGCCGAGUUCCGUCGAAACGAGCAGAACACGGAAUUGAACGAGUUACAGUGGACCCUAAGUGCAUUGGAGUUCAUAAAUGGAGCAAAAAGGGACCCGGAGAGCAAAUCUGGAAAUCUGGCUAAGUCCCAGAUUUUGAGCUCUCGGGGACCGGUCCCUGAAGGAGAGACCGGUCCCCGUACGCGUAGCCUGCCAGGAAAUCCUGAGGCAUCCGGUCCCUGGUGGUGAGACCGGUCCCUGACGGGCAGACCGGUCCCUCGCUGCGCAACAGCCGAAAAACUCGAAAAUUUGGCUAAGUCCUGGAAAACCCCCGUUCGGGAACCGGUCCCUGGUCGGGGAGACCGGUCCCCGAAGGCGAAAAUUGCCCAGUCUGGGCAGAUUGAUGGGAAACAAGUGGAGGGGCUUAUGUGCAAUUGUUACAACACUAUAUGUGGCCCAUCCCCUCUCUCCCACAGCCAUUUCUCUCCUCCUCUCUCAUUUUCUCUCUUUCUCUCUCUAGAACUCCUCUAGAACUUGGAGAAGAAGAAGAAGAGUUUGAGGAAGAAGGUGGAUUUUGGUGCUUUGGAGAUUCUAGGAGCUCUCCAACAAGAAGGAUCUUGGUGGAGCUUGGACUAGAGGUGAGUUUUGUGAGGUUUCCCUCUAGGGUUUGGGUUUUAACUUAAGGAAUUGGAGCUUUGUGCUCCUUAGAGGUAUUAGAAGCUCUUUUGAGCCAUGGAUACCAUGGAACCCAUGAGAGCUGAAGGUGCUCUCAUGGUGAAUCCUUGGAGAUGAUGUUUGGAGCCCUAGGGUUGGUACCAAAGGUCUAGAAACCUUACUAGGAUGCUUCUUAGAUGAUCCUAAGCUAUCCUUUGCUUAGGGUUGGGAUCGAUUCAUGGGGAAACCCUAAAUGGCAACAUUAGGGCUUGAAUUUGGGGUUUUUGCCCUAGGAUUUUUCGGGGACAAAUUGACCCUGUAGAAACCCAAUUGGGGGUGCCCAAAACACGUCGGACAACUUCGUUUAAUAUUUCGAAAAUGUUAGAGUAUAGUUCAUGUACAAAAAGGCCUAAUAUGGCACUAUUUGAUUAUAGGGCGCGGAAUCGGCUUUCGUAAAGUGCGGGGGCCUUAAUAUUCUACACCCACACGACUCACAGAGGUGGGGGGUGCACGCCGGAAUCGUUGGAUUCCCCUCUAUGUCUAUUUCUCUAUUUUUGAGCAUAUAUAUAUAUAUAUAUACCCAUUCAUGCAUAGUAGGGUAGCUACAUGUGGAACUUGGUUUGAUUUCAUUUUUAUGCUUCUAAAGUAGUUGAACGUAGAAGAAUGAUAGAACCAAAACGGACAUGUGUGAUUGGACCCUCGAGAUGUGUGAACAUAAGUAUGGACUUGGACAUUAGAAAACAAGGGUGUCAUUGACAUAGAAACAAGAAUUGCAUUGAGAGAUGAACCAUUGAAUAUAGUUUAACCCACGUUGACAUCGUCGAAGGUAAAGCCUUGAAAGUGACAAGAAUAAAUAGAUAGAGACCUAUCAUAAUAUUGGCAUUGUGACUAAUGGCUAUGAGUCCUCAAGUUGAGGAUUAGAUCGAUACUCACCUUUCGUCUUGGCUUGAGGGAGGUCGCUCCCCCUCGAGCGGUGCGCUCCGGAGUUGGUCACCACUGGGCGUGGUAAAGUCCCACCAGUUGACGGUCCCCAGGGAGGUUCGAGUCCCCCGUUAUUAAGGGAUUAUGGGUUGUGAGUUAUUGGGGUUAACAGAGUUAACCGGUAAGAUUGGGUAAGAGCUAGAGUUUGAUUAUGAUUGGAGCAUGCAUGCAUUUCCAUUUUCGCAUUGAAAUUGUAUAUCUACUGACUUUUUCUUGCAGGCAUAGUAUUAGUUGCAUUAGUAAUGGUUACUUUUCUUCCUUUGAAAUACUUAUGCCUGGAUAGACCUAGUGGGUAAGUCGGCGAGGUCGGAUGCCGAGCCCACUGGGAACUUCGUUGUAGUUCUCACACCACUAACCCUACAGGUCCUAGCACGAGCGGGGCGGCGGAGGACCGAGGCAAGGGUUUGGCGCCGUAGGUAGCGGCCACCGGGGACUUUAUGCAUUUUGUAGUCAUUCCCUUUUGUUAUACAUGUAUCAACUUUAUUUUGUUGAUUUAGGUAUGUAAAGUGAAAACAAUCAUGUAUUUGGUGGAUGACUAAAUGUAAAAAGAUAUGAUGGUUGAAUGGAAUGUAAUAGUUUUACAUUAGCUUUGUUUACUUGAAUUUGGUUUAAAUGAAAUCAAAUAUCAUGUGUAAUCUAUAUUUAGCUUAGAGCUUUCGCUUCCGUUGUUGCUUGCCCUCGUGCAAGCCUUGUAUUAUAUUUGCAAUUCUCUUGUUAAUUGCCUAAUUAUGUGUAUUGUUAGAGCCUUGGGCGGACAGGGGAGGCUCUGUCCGUUCGGCGUCUGUUGACGUGACCCGAACCCGACCAAAUUGGCGGGGAUUGGGGCGUGACACCAACAGACGGGUUUGCUGAGCGAGUUGAGUCUCCUUACCCAUAAGAUGCAUGUGAGUCGUGGGCGAACCUCAGGGUUGGCCAAGGAUUGGUUAAGCCAAAAGAAUUGAUGAACAAGUAAAUAGCAUUACUUCUUGGACAUAGUGGCAUGUUAGUUGAUUACCUAUCACAUUGUGCAUGCAUACAUUGUAUAUGAUUUCGGCAUAAUAGCAUAGCUUUCUUACUAUAUCGUUACUGUUUUUACAUAUCUAUCUAUCUAUCUGCUUGUGCCUACUUGGACCUAGUAGGGAGAUCGGGGGAGUCGGCGGCCGAACCCACUGGGAACUAUGGACUAUUGUGACGCACUAGACCUUGCAAAUUGUGGGGUUUGAGUGAUUGGUUGUGUUCUGAGCUUUUCCAGAUUUUCUGGUGGGUCGUUGAAAGUGUUCCGACCUAUGGUUCGAGUCCCGAGAAUUGUGGUUUAAACCUGUGUACCAAAAUCUAAAAAGUUAGAUUUUUGGUCAGCCUUCGGGUAGCCUUCGGCAGGCUGUGUACCGGUACGGGCUUGGUGGCUGUACCGGUAUGGGGUUGAUGGCUGUACCGGUACAGGCCCGCAUACCGGUACACAGACGGCUUUUCGGCCAAACCCGAGGCUCGGGUUUGCAUUUUCGUGGGUGGUGUACCGGUACACAAUUUCGUGUACCGGUACACAGUGCAGAUUGGGACUGUUUCGUGGAGGGGUGUUUUUGCAAUUGUUGCAACACAUAUAUAUUACACCCCAGCCCCUUUAGAGGGUUUUCUUGUGCCCUAACCAGAGGAGAUAAGGUGAGACUCUCCCCCUUUGAUCUCUUCUCCAUUUUUGAUGGAUUUUGGUUGGUUUUGAUCUCUCCUCUCUUCUCCACCUUGUUUUUUGUUGGGUUUCCUCUAUUGUUGAAGGCUUGGAGCUUGGAGAGGAGCUUGUUUGAGAGGAGAUUUUCAACUCCACUUGGCUUGGAGCUUGGUUUGGGACAUCUUGUGAGGUGAGUAUUCAUGAUCUUUCUUUUAGAGCAUGUUUUGGUAGUUUUCCUCUUUGGAAACCCUAGAUUUUGGAUUCUAGGGCUAGGAUUGGGAUUUUUUGAUUUGAGGGCUUUGGAGCCAAAUUGAUGGGUUUAGAACCUUUGUUUAAGUUUGAUUGGAAGGACUCUAGCUCCCAUUUAGAGAUUGAGAGAGCUUCCUUCGCAAUCGGUGAGUUUUCUUCAACCCUAGCCCGAAUUGGUUAAUGAUUGUGCAAUCCGUUGUUCGUUCGUUUGGGUAACACUUGUUCCUACAUCCUUAGGGUACUAGGAGGCUAGUGGACACCUUCGUUCGGCGAAACGAAGAGUUCGAAAAAUCGGUGGGUUUGGCUUCAUGAUUUGGGGGCAAAAUGGCCCCUAUGAGUAAAAUACUUGUCUUUUUGUGAAAGUAAAUGCAUAUUCAUGCUAGAUAGAAUUUGUAUGAAUUUUGGAACGCUUAAAACCCAUGCAUUAUGUGUCAUGAGAACUUCGCUCUAUGUAGUAGAGCCUUAUUUGUAGUAUGCAUGCAUGUGUUCCGGAUUCUUUAUUGCAACUUGAAAAUAUGUCUCUUAUGUGGGAAAAUGACUAGAAUCAUGCAAUCUUAAGCAUAAUUGUCAUGCUAUGACUUAGUGAGCAAAAGUGUCAUAAAGGGGCACUUGAACUAGAAAACGGUUGAACUGCAACUUAGAGACAUGAUGAUAGGCCAUUGUACAUCUGCUAUAUUCCAUGUUAGAGACAUGAUGACAUAGAGAUAGGCCAUGAUGACAUUUGACAUAUUCCAUGUUUUAGACAUGAGGACUUGGUACUUGAGACAGAUCAUUGCUUGCUUGCCAUUGUGCUCAUUCGCACAUGCUUGUGAGGGUCGCUCCCUACAAGCCGGCACUCCGGAGAUAGCCAUCGCGACAUAUGCUCACCCGUGCGGGAUUGGGCGCCGAAGUGGAUUGCCGUGGGGGAGGCUCAUCCCUAGAGUGGGGAUGUUCACUACCACGGGGCCAUUAGGCACGGCGGAGGCCAGACAGCCUUCGGGUGGGUCUUAUAUGAUUGGGACUUAGUGACAGAACAUACUACGUGAACUUUAAAACUAUUAAAGUGGACUUGGAUUAGAAUAGUAAACAAUGACAUCUUUACUAUUUUUGCAUUGAGGACAUCGGGUUGGGUGCAUUUCUGUGAUUAUGCAUGUCAUACAUAUCCAUGUACAUCCAUGAUAUAGUUGCCUUAUUACUUAUGCAAAUCAUACUAAGUAGAGACUUUAUGUUAUAGUAAGUUACAUUUUACUUACCUUUCGCUUUACUACACUGUUAGUCACUGACCUCUUUUUAUAGCUUUUGGGCCUUGUGACGCAGUUCACUGAAGUCAGUAAUUGCCCACUGGGAACUAUUUUUAAUAGUUCUCACGCCCCUAUUUUCGUGAUUUCUUUCAGAGCCUUCUGCACCGGCGGAGGCACGGGAUCGCGGCAAGGGAAUCGCAUAGCUAGCUAGCGAGAAGUGGUUCUUUGCCUAGGUGGUUUACUCUUUCUUUUUGUAAAUGAGAGAGAGUGAGAGAUUUUGUAUCCAUGUAUAGAGACCACCUAUGUAUCUACCUUUAGCACUUGUAUUGAGAUUUCCAUUGUAUUACUUUAUGCCUUUAUUAGUGGAUUCCAGCUUUGUGUUCUUUUCUCUAUUGUAGAACUUAGUAUUAUAUUAUGCUCUGAUACUCCUAGAUGUCCUUUAUUAUUGCUUCAAUUAUCGUUGUUUUAGACGCCUUAUAUGUUUUAGACGUAUGGCGGGUCUGGACACGUGCCGUGCGGGCUUCUGCUGGUGUCACGCCCGGGUACCAGCGGAAGCAUAUCCGGUACGUGAACAGACCCGCCAUACACCUGCAGUAUAUAAGGCGUCUACAAACAAGCAAGUCGAUAGGAAGAAGAUCAUAGAAAAUUCUAACCUGAUAUCAGAGCAAAGUACAAGUCAACAAUACAAUCAACAAUAGAGUAAAGGAGUAUAGUCCAAAAAUCUCAACCACAAGAUGAGUAUCACAACUAAAGUGACUGUCCAAAAGUACAUAUACAUCACGGGGUAUACAAAAGAAUAGGUACAACGGUGGUCUAUCUAUACAUAGGGACAUCACCCUCGGCCGUAGCCCGAGUAGCAAGGUGAUCGACUAGCACGCUCCUAGUAGUCCCUAGCUAGGCGCGACUCCCUUGCCACGAUCCCUAGCCUCUCCUGUAAAUGGCUCUGUAAAAAACAACCACCAAAAGGGCGUGAGAACUAUUAACAAUAGUUCCCAGUGGGUAAGCCGCCAGCCUCGGCGAAUUACACCACUAGGCUCAAGAUGUACUAAAUGAAAGCAAAAACAAUAAUUUGCAUGAUGUAUAAGCAUGAUGCUAAUAAGUAAUAAGCAUGUAAUCAACAUGUAAUAGCUUUCUACAGUAAUGAACCAUUUGCAUAAAAGAGAUAUAGCAACUUCUGUAAUCAUGAACAUAGACAUGAGUAUAAGCACGAACAUAAAAGUGACUACUGUACACUUUAAGUAAUAAACAUUCAUUACUGUCCUUUUUCAUUUAGUACUUUCCUUUCAUUCACAGGGACCUACCCAAGGUAGUCCAGCUUGCGCCGCGCCUAAUGGCCCCGUGGUAGUAUACACUCCCCACGGCAAUCCACUUCGGCACCCAAUCCCGCACGGGCGAGCAACUGUCGCGUAGGCCAACUCCGGAGUGCCGGCUUGUAGGGAGCUACCCUCACAAGCGUGUGCGAAUGAGCACGAUGGCAAGCAAGCAAAUUCCACUGUCCACAUGUCUCAAUUCUCAUGUUUUCAUUUGCAAUGUUCUCGCUCUCGAUCCUUUGAUCGACAUUUCAGUAUAACAAAUAUUAACAACAACUAGAAUCCACUAGUUUAGUAAGCAUGCAGGAGUAAUGCUAAUUUACAUAUGGCAUUAGAAUCUUUCACUAUCAUGGCACUAUCAACAUAGGCACAAGCAUGUCAUAGUUCUCUACUUCAGAGUCAAGAGAAUGUCAUUGUUCUCUACUUGUAAUCAAGCGAGUAAAAAGAGAAUGUCAUUGUUCUCUACGUUUCAUGAGCAUAAUAACGUGUCUCAUUAUUAUUCAACUAAACCAAACAGGAAUAUGAAUACAUUUAGGCGUGAGGAUUCUCUACUUCAUAGAGAUUCUAUGUCAAUAUAGUAAAUGUUAUGAUGACGAAUUCUCAAGCCCUUUAGCUAUCACAUAAGCACACAACUAACACAUUUCUAUAAUACAUAUAGAACAUAGAGGAGCUUCACUUGCUCUGGUUAGGUCCGACCCACCUAGUACUAGGCUCCAAAACAGUCCAAGGAGUUCCAAGGAUCAGCUCCACUAGGUCGCAAUCCUGCUGAACACGAAGCAUACAUAUCGUAUCAAAAUUACGAUCGAAAAGGCCAAUUUCGGCGCAAUUACACUUUGUACAUUGGAAUAGCUUAAAUCCCUGUUUUGGCUUAGUUCAAUACCUCACGUUAAGCUUCCAGAAGGCCCUCCAAGGCCAAACGAAGGCGGUCCAAGGGUCAAACACCCUCUUGCUGCGAACAAUUCCGAAACGACAUCAAACUCAUCAAUAAUAGCAAUUAUGGUCGGAAUCUUGCAAUUUCGGCUUCCUAACUGCAAUUCUUACUUACCUUAGGGUAGAACAACUUCCAAACCAGCUUCAACGAGUACACGUUCAGCUCAACGAGGCUCGAAGACCUGCUGCGAAGUCAACGUACAAAACUGCAUCAAUUUGAUCGCAUAAACCGUGUAUAGUCCGAAAUAGCUUCAUAAAUGGCUAAUUAUCCUAAUUAAGCUUUAAAGUAGCUUAACCCUGGUCAAAGAAGGUUAAUUCACAGCUAAUUAACCCAUAUAUACAUGCUGAAAUCUCAGGUUAAAACAGUUGGAAGCAAAAACAUGAAAUCAAUACACAAAUCGACCAAUAAAGCGCCGAUAACGGAAAAAUCAAGUCGUUUACCUUCUCAAGCUUCCAACCAGCACCUCACUGGUCCAGGGCUGCGAAAAUCCCUCCAAAACGCUCUCUUGCACGUGCACAAAGGUGCUGCGACGCUCGCAACCAGCGAAGAACGCGCGCGGCGACGAAAACGAGCGAAAUCGGCGAAUUCGAUGUAGAGAGAGAAAAACCCUAGAGAGAGAGAGUGAGGAAGGUGGGAGAACCUUUCUCUGAGCCCAGCACCCUCCACUGAACAUCCCUGGUCGAGCUGGGGUCAAGUGGAUAGGUAUCAAGUGUGAAAUGACCGAAAUAGCCCUGCUGCCACGAAUUGCCACUGUGUACCGGUACACCAUAGCGGCUGUACCGGUACAGCAAGCAGAAAAGGCUGAUUUUCGCCAGUUCAAUGCACUUUCUCACUUUUCGCAUUCCAAUCAUCCUCUAACUUAUCCAAAAACUUGUUCUAACCUUUUAGAACAUGUAGGAGUGAUCCACACACCAUUCCACAUACUCGAACUCCGCAAUUUGCAAAAGUUCAGUGUAUUACAGCUGGGUCCCGGGACAUGACAGAUUAAUUUGGUAUCAGAGCCUAGGGUUGAGUCUUAGGGGACCUAGCAAACCUUAGGCCGGUUGGACUGUAGGAAAUAGGCUCGUGAGAGACGAGGUCUAUUCGAUUUGUAAGCGGGAGUAUCUUGAUUGGGUAUCUUUAAUAACUCUAGGAAGUGGAGUUAAAUUGAAGUGUAUAGCUUCUAACUUCGCGGAGGGUUACGUUGGCGGCCGACAACAUAACAUCGGGAGUUAGUGGUGAAAAACACUUCCUUACUUUCGCAUGAUUUGGGUUUUACUUUGAGCGGGGAUGCGUUGGCGUGGAUUUUUACUAACUUACGCUUUUAUGAUGUUGUAGUGAAGAUGCCGAUUACUCGCUCCCAAUCUGCCGGUGCGGACUAUGCGGCAAACUUUGAGGAGGUCGAGACCUCCACGAGACCUCCGCUACCUCCGGAUCCAGCGAGGUCCGUGAGUUGAGGGGCCAGCUUGCGGCCCUUACUGAUUUAGUCACUCAGCAGGCGGAGGCGGCCCGACAGCAGACCGAGGCGGCGCGCCGACAGGAGGCGUGGAUGAAGCGUCUGGAGGACCUACUAUUGCAGCAGGCGGCAGCUUCUAGGGAGACGCAAGCCCCUACACCGCCAGCACCAGUUGUGGACGUUGCACCGAGAGCGCUGUCCCCCGCACCCAGUUCUUCGCGUGCGGCGCCUGUGGCCGCACCCCAGGAGGAGGUUUUGGCGCCACCACCUGUUCAGAGGCCCCCAGCUGGAGCGGCAUUCCCUACCUUGGUCGAGGGGGCGGAGCGAGAUAGACUGAUGGAGCGCCUCAAUGAGUUCAGGAGGCGCAGCCCCCGAGUCUUCGACGGCGAGAAGGUCGACCACUGGAUCGUGGAGAAGUGGUUGAUGCAUAUGGAGAAGCUCUUCCGCGACACCUUCGUGGAGGAGAGGGACAGAGUUUGGCUCGCCACUCACCACUUGGAUGGCGAGGCCUACCGCUGGUGGUUGGAUCUCUAGGAGCACCCCAGCACUAACUUGGUAGCUAUCACUUGGACGAGGUUCAAGGAGCUUCUUUUGGCGCACUACUUCCCGACCAGCGUCAAGAGGAAGAUGGAGUAGGAUUUGCGCAGCUUGCGCCAGGGUGACAGGACUGUAGCCGAGUACGAGAGGGAGUUUUCUCGGCUUCUGCACUGCGUGCCUUUCGUCAUGCGGGACGACGAGGAUAAGGCCCGCAUCUUCGAGCGAGGGUUGCGACCGUCUAUCUUCCGGUUUGUGCAAUCCUCUAACCUCCAAACCUACCGGGAGGUGGUGGAUCGCGCGCUCAUUAUGGAGAGCAGCUCGGCGGAUGUCCAGGAGCAGCGAGAGGCUAGGGACAAGGGUAAGGCCAAGAGGCCUGCGGCUGAGGGUGCGAGCCAAACGCACUCUAGGAGGCCGCCAAAGCAUCCGAAGAGCCAGCAGCGUGGACGCGGCUCAGCAGCUCAGCAGGGAGGUUAUGAUCAACGCCGGCCCUCCCCGUGCGUGAUCUGUGGUGGUCCUCAUCACCCACCGCAGUGUCCACAGCGGGCGGGCAGGUGCUUCCAGUGUGGCCAGGAGGGCCACAUGCGGACUGAGUGCCUGAGGGGUUCUUCACCGGCACCGUCGACUGCAUCGGCACCGGCUCUACCAGCCGCCAGCCAGGGGACUCCGUCAGCAUAGUAUCAGCCUGGGCGGCCACCCGUCCAGCGCCAGAGUGAGGGAUCUCGUCAGGCCCCGAGCGGGCACAUGUACGCCACUCAGACCGAGGAGGCGGUAGCAGCCGAGGAUGUUGUUGCAGGUAUCAUUUUACUUGAUGGCAUUAGAGUUCGUGCUUUAUUUGAUACCGGUGCAUCGCAUUCAUUCAUAGAUCGGCUGUUUGCCGAGUUGUAUGGCAUCCCAUUGGUUUCUUUAUUGCAUACGGGACAUGUUGUUGUACCCAACCACGUUUUGGAUAUUAGAGAGUAUAGCCCCAGUUGCCCUAUUCGGAUAGGAGAUUGGAUUAUGCAUGUAGAUUUGCUAGCCUUGCGCAAGCUGGGGGAUUUUGACGUGGCCUUGGGCAUGGAUUGGUUGACCAAGUAUUAUGCCACGAUUGAUUGCAAAAAUCGCACGGUUACUUUUAGAGAACCUGGGCAGACUGAGGUGGUAUUUAGGGGAUGCCGGAGUUCGCUGUUUGCGAUGACGAUCAGCUCGUCUCGAGCUAGGCAGCUGAUCAGUAGAGGUUGUGUAGCCUAUUUGGCUAGUAUUGUGCUGAGGGGCGAGGAUGACACCCCUAGGAUUGAGGAUAUUCCGGUGGUGCGGGAGUUUCGAGAUGUGUUUCCAGCUGAGCUACCAGGUAUGCCUCCUGAUAGGGAGAUUGAGUUUGGGGUAGAUCUCGUCCCUGGGACUACCCUAAUCUCAAAGGCGCCCUAUAGGAUGGCACCGGCAGAGCUGAGGGAGCUGAGGGCACAGUUGCAGGAUUUGUUGGACAAGGGCUUCAUUCGACCGAGCGUCUUGCCUUGGGGAGCACCAGUUUUGUUCGUCAAGAAGAAGGACGGAUCGUUUCGCCUUUGUGUGGAUUAUCGCGAACUUAACAAAGUCACGAUCAAGAACAAGUAUCCGUUUCCGAGGAUCGACGACUUGUUUGAUCAGCUUCAGGGAUCGUGUGUGUAUUCCAAGAUAGACUUGCAGUCUGNGACAUGUUGUUGUACCCAACCACGUUUUGGAUAUUAGAGAGUAUAGCCCCAGUUGCCCUAUUCGGAUAGGAGAUUGGAUUAUGCAUGUAGAUUUGCUAGCCUUGCGCAAGCUGGGGGAUUUUGACGUGGCCUUGGGCAUGGAUUGGUUGACCAAGUAUUAUGCCACGAUUGAUUGCAAAAAUCGCACGGUUACUUUUAGAGAACCUGGGCAGACUGAGGUGGUAUUUAGGGGAUGCCGGAGUUCGCUGUUUGCGAUGACGAUCAGCUCGUCUCGAGCUAGGCAGCUGAUCAGUAGAGGUUGUGUAGCCUAUUUGGCUAGUAUUGUGCUGAGGGGCGAGGAUGACACCCCUAGGAUUGAGGAUAUUCCGGUGGUGCGGGAGUUUCGAGAUGUGUUUCCAGCUGAGCUACCAGGUAUGCCUCCUGAUAGGGAGAUUGAGUUUGGGGUAGAUCUCGUCCCUGGGACUACCCUAAUCUCAAAGGCGCCCUAUAGGAUGGCACCGGCAGAGCUGAGGGAGCUGAGGGCACAGUUGCAGGAUUUGUUGGACAAGGGCUUCAUUCGACCGAGCGUCUUGCCUUGGGGAGCACCAGUUUUGUUCGUCAAGAAGAAGGACGGAUCGUUUCGCCUUUGUGUGGAUUAUCGCGAACUUAACAAAGUCACGAUCAAGAACAAGUAUCCGUUUCCGAGGAUCGACGACUUGUUUGAUCAGCUUCAGGGAUCGUGUGUGUAUUCCAAGAUAGACUUGCAGUCUGGAUACCACCAAUUGAAGAUCAAACCCGAGGAUGUAUCGAAGACAGCUUUUAGAACACGGUAUGGACAUUAUGAGUUCACAGUUAUGCCGUUCGGGCUUACUAAUGCCCCGGCAGCUUUUAUGGAUCUAAUGGACUGUGUUUUCAAGCCUUAUCUAGACAGGUUCGUCGUAGUGUUCAUCGACGACAUUUUGGUUUACUCUCGAAGUGAUGCAGAUACGAGGAGCAUUUGAGAAUUGUACUCCAAGUACUUCGGGAAAAGGAGCUUUAUGCCAAGUUGAAUAAAUGUGAAUUUUGGCUUCGAGAGGUAGCCUUUCUUGGACACUUGAUUUCUGGAUCGGGUAUAGCCGUGGAUCCUAAGAAGAUUGAAGCAAUCAAGGAUUGGCCGAGACCGACGAGUGUCGCGGAGAUACGGAGUUUUCUUGGAUUGGCCGGUUACUACCGGAGAUUUGUCGAGGGAUUUGCAAGAUUAUCUACUCCCCUCACGAGGUUCACGCAUAAAAGAGUCAAGUUCAUUUGGAAUGAUACGUGCGAGCGAAGCUUCCGAGAGUUGAAACAAAGAUUGACUACCGCCCCGAUCUUGACCCUACCAGUAGCUGGAGCAGGGUAUGUGGUUUAUAGUGAUGCUUCACUUAAUGGAUUGGGCUGUGUAUUGAUGUAGGAUGGCAAAGUGAUCUCGUAUGCUUCUCGCCAACUAAAGGAAUAUGAAAAGAACUAUCCGACGCAUGAUUUGGAGUUGGCGGCCGUAGUGUUCGCAUUGAAGCUAUGGCGCCACUAUAUUUAUGGCGAGCGGUGUGAAGUGUACACGGAUCACAAGAGCUUGAAGUACCUGUUUACUCAGAAGGAGUUGAACUUGAGGCAGCGCAGAUGGUUUGAGCUACUCAAGGAUUAUGAUCUUACUAUUCUUUACCACCCAGGCAAGGCUAAUGUGGUUGCGGAUGUGCUAAGUAGGAAAUCGACGGAAAACUCAGCGAUGCAUUUGGUUACCCAACCGCAGUUGAUCGAGCAGAUGAUGCGGAUGGAGUUAGAGGUGGUGACUCCUGACACACCCUUGAGGUUGAUGACAUUGGUUGUGCAACCUACUCUUAUGGAUAGAAUUAAAGAAAAGCAAGCUUCCGACAUGGAGUUGCACAAGAUUCGAGAAAAAAUGGUUGAUGGUUGCACCGCUGAUUUCCUAGUGGACGAUCGAGGGUUGAUGCGUUUCCGCGGACGGAUUUGUGUACCGGCGGAUUUGGGAAUUAAACAGGACAUUCUUUAAGAAGCGCAUCGAGCGCCCUAUGCUAUACAUCCGGGAGGCACCAAGAUGUAUAAGGAUUUAAAGCUGCUCUAUUUGUGGCCCGGAAUGAAAAAGGACGUUGGCCAGUUUGUUGCUAGAUGUUUAACUUGCCAACAAGUUAAAGCUGAGCACCGAGUUCCCGCAGGAAAACUUCAGAGUUUGCCUAUUCCCGUGUGGAAAUGGGAGAAGAUCACCAUGGACUUUGUGACAUGAUUGCCUCGCUCACAGGCUAGGUAUGAUGCUAUUUGGGUGUUCGUGGAUAGGUUAACGAAGUCGGCGCACUUCGUACCCAUUCACACUACUUGGACCGGGGAGAAGCUCGCACAAGUGUACCUUGAUAAGAUUGUGCGACUUCAUGGAGUGCCUACUUCGAUUGUAUCGGAUCGAGACACCCGCUUUGUGUCUCAUUUUUGGAGGAGUUUACAGGACGCCCUAGGCACCCGACUGGAUUUCAGCACUGCUUUCCACCCCCAGAAUGACGGGCAGUCGGAGCGCACUAUCCAGACCUUAGAGGAUAUGCUCCGAGCAUAUGUGAUUGACUUCCAGGGAGGAUGGUCGCAGCAUCUACCUAUGGCAGAGUUUGCUUAUAACAACAGUUAUCAAGCAAGCAUCAAGAUGGCGCCAUUUGAAGCACUUUAUGGACGGAAGUGUAGAUCACCACUUCAUUGGAGUGAAGUAGGCGAGAGAUUGGCUUUAGGCCCUGAUGUGCUCCAGGAAGCUGAGGACAAGGUUCGAAUUGCUCGGGAGCGGCUUUUAACGGCGCAGAGUAGACAGAGGAGCUACGCCGACCGACGACGGCGAGACUUGGAGUUCCAAGUGGGAGACCAUGUUUUCUUGAAGGUCUCGCCGACUAGAGGAAUCAAAAGAUUCGGGAUUCGGGGAAAGUUGAGCCCCCGUUUCAUUGGACCGUAUGAGGUUUUGGAGCGUGUAGGUCCGGUAGCGUAUCGACUUGCUCUACCACCGAACCUAUCGGGCGUACACAACGUCUUUCAUAUAUCGGUCCUUCGGAGGUACAUUCAUGACCUAGCUCACGUUUUGGAGGCUAUACCAGGGGAGCUGCGUGAGGAUUUGAGCUUCGAGGAGCAACCAGUGAAGAUUUUGGCUCGCGAGUUGAAGAAACUAUGGAAUCGGGAUAUUCCGUAUGUGAAGGUUCUUUGGAGCAACCAUGGGGAGCGGGAGGCCACGUGGGAGUAGAGAGCGCGCUGCAGGAGCGCUAUCCCCAUCCUUUUCAGAUGGAGCCUUGAGGUAUGCUUUUGCUUUCGAGUUUCGUGGACGAAACUCCUUUUUAGGAGGGGUGAAUGUGACGCACUAGACCUUGCAAAUUGUGGGGUUCGAGUGAUUGGUUGUGUUCUGAGUUUUUCCAGACUUUCUGGUGGGUCGUUGACAGUGUUCCGACCUAUGGUUCGAGUCCCGAGAAUUGUGGUUUAAAGCUGUGUACCAAAAUCUAAAAAGUUAGAUUUUUGGUCAGCCCUCGGGUAGCCUUCGGCAGGCUGUGUACCGGUACGGGCUUGGUGGCUGUACCGGUAUGGGGUUGAUGGCUGUACCGGUACGGGCUCGCGUACCGGUACACAGACGUCUUUUUGGCCAAACCUGAGGCUCGGGUUUGCGUUUUCGUGGGUGGUGUACCGGUACACAAUUUUGUGUACCGGUACACAGUGCAGAUUGGGUCUGUUUCGCGGAGGGGUGUUUUUAUAAUUGUUGCAACACCUAUAUAUUACACCCCAGUCCCUUUAGAGGGCUUUCUUGUGCCCUAACCAGAGGAGAUAAGGUGAGACUCUCCCCCUUUGAUCUCUUCUCCAUUUUUGAGGGAUUUUGGUUGGUUUUGAUCUCUCCUCUCUUCUCCACCUUAUUUUUUGUUGGGUUUCCUCCAUUGUUGAAGCCUUAGAGCUUGGAGAGGAGCUUGUUUGAGAGGAGAUCUUCAACUCUACUUGGCUUAGAGCUUGGUUUGGGACAUCUUGUGAGGUGAGUACUCAUGAUCUCUCCUUUAGAGCAUGUUUUGGUAGUUUUCCUCUUUGGAAACUCUAGAUUUUGGAUUCUAGGGCUAGGAUUGGGAAUUUUUGAUUUGAGGACUUUGGAACCAAAUUGAUGGGUUUAGAACCUUUGUUUAGGUUUGAUUGGAAGGACUCUAGCUCCCAUUUGGAGAUUGAGAGAGCUUCCUUCGCAAUCGGUGAGUUUUCUUCAACCCUAGCCCGAAUUGGUUAAUGAUUGUGCAAUCUGUUGUUCGUUUCGUUUGGGUAACACUUGUUCCUACAUCCUUAGGAUACUAGGAGGCUAGUGGACACCUUCGUUCGGCGAAACGAAGAGUUCGAAAAAUCGGUGGGUUUGGCUUCAUGAUUUCGGGGCAAAAUGGCCCCUAUGAGUAAAAUACUUGUCUUUUUGUGAAAGUAACGCUUCUAUACUACUUAUAAAAGCGUGAGUUUUGAAUUUUUUCUCUUUCCAAAAAUGUCUCUAUCUUUUUUACUAAUAUUGUCAUGUCCAGUAAUUUUCAACUAUCCAUUUUAAAUAAAUCUUUAAAUAAUAAUUUAUUCUCAAAUAUAGAUUUUAAGUUUUCGCCAUUGGAUCUCAUCCAACCAAUAAAAAUGAAAGUAUCUAUCAUUUUUGUUGAUAAAAAUACCCUAUAUAUCCGUUAUCUCCCAUCUACGCCGCGUUUCUCAAAUAUUUUUCUUCUACCCACCAAUCAUGUAAUACGUAAAACUAAACUUAUCACUUAUCUAACCUAACAUAAUAUCCGCCAAUCACGUAAUACCUCUGCUAAUCACUAAAAAAAAUUAAUACCCGCCCAAUCAAAACUAAAUCGUUAAUUAAAUAUAAUUUUAAAUAUUUUUAGCAAAAUAUUCAAUGUUUAAAUAAUACCCACCAAAAUAUUCUCCGCGUUCUCAAAUAUAAAAUAUAUUUUAUCCAUUUUAAAUAAAUCUUUAAAUAAUAAUUUAUUCUCAAAUAUAGAUCUUAAGUUUUCACCAUUGGAUCUCAUCCAACGAAUAAAAAUAAAAGUAUCUGUCAUUUUUGUUGACAAAAAUAUCAUCCAUAUCCGUUAUCUACUAUCUACAUUACUCAAAUAUUUUUUUCUAUCCAUAAUACGUAAAACUAAAUUUAUUUCUUAUCUAGCGUAAUACCAGCCAAUCAUGUAAUACAUCCGCUAAAUUUAUUUCCUAUCCAAGAGUUUCCUCAAAUAUUUUUUUUUCUCAAACGUAAUAUCUACCAAAAUUAAAUUUUAAGUUUAUAAUGCCCGCCAAAAUUUAAUACCCGCGAAUUUAAUAAUUUGAAUUUUAAUUCAUGAUAGUAGAUUUUUCCUUACAUAAGAUAGUAGAUUUAAUUUUGACGAGUAUUAAAAUUUACGCGCCAUAAAAGUAUAGAAUAUUUCUAAAAAAAAUUAAUAUUUGUCCAAUCGUACAUCGUCAUCGUCUUACUCAUCAUCAUUGCCUGUGCCGGAACAUUGUCGCGUUCGCCACCUUCAUUAUAAUUAAAGAGGUAUUUUAAUUCCAUUUGAAUUUUUUUUUUAAUGUGCCUUUAUACUAUUUUAAUAUAUCUUUUUUUUUUAUUUUUUCUUAUUUUCACAAAUAUGUUUCUCAAAUAUAAAGUAUAUAUUUUUUAGUAAUAUAUUUUUUUUAUUUUUAUCUAUAUUUUUUUAAAAUAUUUUUAAAUAUAUUUUUUGUAAUAUACUUUCUCAUUUGUCAGCACUGGUACAUCGUCGUCAUCAUCGUCAUCAUCAUCACCGGCACCGACAUAUUAUCGCCUUCGCCACUUUCGCCGCCUUUGCACAAUUGAAGAGGUAUUUUGAUCCUAUUUGAAAAUUUUUCUUUUUUCAAUAUGCCUUUAUACUGUUUUAGUAUUUUUUUUAGUAUUUCUCAUUUUCACUUAUAUAUUUCUCAAAUAUAAAGCAUAUAUUUUUUUAGUAAUAUUUUUUUUCAUUUUUGCUAUUAUUUUUCUUAAAUAUUCUCAAAUAUUAAUUUAAUAAUAUCCUGUUUUAUUUAUCUCUGUCGUCGACACUGGUACAUCAUCACAUCACUGGCGCCGGCACAUUAUCCCCUUUGCAGAGGUAUUUUGAUUUCAUCUGAAUUUUUUUUUUUGUAAUGUGCUUCUAUGUUGUUUUAGCAUAUUUUUUUUAGUAUUUUAUCAUUGUUACCUAUAUGUUUUUCAAAUAUAAAACAUAUAUUUUUUUAGUAAUAUUCUUUUUUAUUUUUACCUAUAUUUUUCUCAAAUAUUCUCAAAUAUUUUUUUAGUAAUAUUAUUUCUCAUUUGUCCUCAUUGUCCGUACCAGAACAUCAUCAUCAUCUUCCUCAUCGUUAUCGUCGUCAUCAACGCUGACACAUUGUCGCCUUCGCCACCUUCUAUACUAUUACUAACUUCUAUACUAUUUCAGUUUUCUUAGAUGUUGUUAGAAUGAUUGUCCAAAUCAAUUACUCUUUAUUUGUCUGGUGUUAAUCGUCCUAAACUUGAAGGUAAAGUGUUUCUCUUUUUAUCAUUUCACAUGAAAAAAAUUAUUAAUAACUAAUUAUUUGGAUGGAUUGAAACAUGAAUUGGAUUAGAUUGAUCCGCUAUGACAAGAUAGUGCUAACACACAUUGGCAUAAAAAAAUUAUUAAUAACUAAUUAUUUGGAUGGAUUGAAGUAUGAAUCGAACUAGAUUGAUCCUCUAGGACAAGAUAAUGCUAACACACAUUGGCAUGUGGAGAGACGCUAUUGCAAACAAUUCAGUUGUUGUAUUAAAGCAGUGCACGUUAAUAUCGAUAAUUAGGAUAAAUAUACUUUUUAAUAUUUUAUUUUUUCUGUGGUAUUUUAAAUUUAUUUAUCAGAAUCAAUUUAUUUAGCAAAGUUUUGCGAGUAAAAUUGUGCUUAAUCCACCUAUUCCAAAAACUCAAGAAAUAAAAUUAAGCUAAAAAUUUUUACUUAUAUGAAUUCUUAUUAAAUUUAUAUUUUUUAUUAAUUUUAUCUAUUCUGAUGAUUUACUAAUAUUUACUUUAUUAUUUUUCUUACUUUCAGUGUAAUUUGUACGGAAGNNNNNNNNNNNNNNNNNNNNNNNNNNNNNNNNNNNNNNNNNNNNNNNNNNNNNNNNNNNNNNNNNNNNNNNNNNNNNNNNNNNNNNNNNNNNNNNNNNNNNNNNNNNNNNNNNNNNNNNNNNNNNNNNNNNNNNNNNNNNNNNNNNNNNNNNNNNNNNNNNNNNNNNNNNCAAACGGUAGAAAAUAUGCGGAUCCGAGUGGGUUCGGGACAUAAUUAUUAUUUGUUUUGUUUACUAAUUGUUGAUACAUCCGAGUGGAUUUUAUCGUUAUUAUUGACAGACAUGUUUUAUUUAUUUUGCACAUUAUUAUUAUCAUGUUCUAUUAUUGGAUAUGACUGUUGCGGUUGGAUUUCUCGGAGGAGAGGGAUUUAUCCGGUACACGGUUUUCGAGGAAAAACGGUGCGAAAUUGUAGCUCUCGCGGUUAGAGCGACGGAGUGGAGAUGCUCUAAAUUAUGACCUUUGUGGUUUCAAAUUUAAAUUAUCGUUAUUUUUGAAGUAGAUUUCUUGUUAAGCAUUGCGCUUACUUUUGUUGUCUACUAUUUCAGGUACCGAGAGUCGGGGCGUGUGAGAUAAUUGGCCGGCGAGAACUCGUUAGAUAGAUUUCAAAUUUGGGACAUAUGAUUUAUUUUGACAUGAGAUUGAUUAUAUGGACAUUUAAGAGUUAUUGUUUAGUUUCGUUUUAAUUAAUAAAUUAUUUAGUUUUUAAUUGAGAUGGUGUCUUUGGAUCAAUUUAAGGCCUUCCGUUUUCGGAGGUUCUUCCUUUGAAUUCGUGGCCGGUUGUUGCGGUUCAGAUCCGAGCAGUCGGAUCUGGGGCGUGACAGCUUUAGUUGUAUCAGAGCCUAGGUUAUUGACACCUUAGGGCAAAAUGACACCAUACUUAGGGAUUUAGGACGCGCGAGUGCGUGGGAUUCUUUUUGGACACGAGGCGAGGGUUUAGCAAAAUUUUAUGUCUUGAUUGUGUUCUGUUUUGUAGACGAUGCCUCGUUCUCAGAGGACUGACACUUCGCAAGCUAAUGUACCUGCUGAUCCUAUUCCACUGGGGGAUCUACCGCCAGAGAUGUAACACACUGAACCUAUACAAAUUGCGAGGUUCGAGUGUUCGAGCUGUGUGCUGAGCAAUUCCAGAUUUUCUGGUGGGUCGUUGACAGUGUUCCGACCUAUGGUUCGAAUCCUGAGAAUUGUAGUAUUUUAUAUAGCGCUAAGGUCACCAAAGAGUUGGACUUAGGCUACCCUCCGAUUGCAUUCUGCAUAUGGUGAAACCGGUGACACGUUGAUGGUUGUACCGGUACACAUUUUUGUACCGGUACAAGUUGAUGGUUAUACCGGUACACUUGUGCAGAAUUUCAAACCCGAGGCUCGGGUUUGCUGUCUCGCGGGAUUUGUACCGGUACACUUUUCCGUGUACCGGUACACUUUGGCAGAUUUUGAGCAGUUUGAACUGCAGGGGGGUUUUCACAAUUGUGCCACUUCUAUAUCAUCACCCACGCCCCUAGGGCUCCUCCUUGAGCUUGCCACUGCAGGGAGAAAGGUAAGGGGGCCCUCUCUACCUUUCCACUUGGAUUUUAUCUCCUUUUACCUUGGAUUUUGGUGGAUUUACACCUCUCUUUGCUCCUUUUGCUUGUUGAAGGCUUUUUCACCAUUGGAGUUUGGUCUUGGAGCUUGUGGAGAGGGAGAUCUCCACACUUGGAGGAUUUUGAACCUUGUUUGAUGCUUCGAAAAGGUUAGUAGCCCCUUCUCUCCCUCUAGAUUGAAGUUUUAUCGAUGGAUUUGGGAUGAAACCCUAGAAUGGAGAUUUAGGGUUUGUUUUGGGCAUUUUGAAUCUAGGACUUUUGGAGCUUGAUCACUUGGAUUAGAACCUUCCUCUAGGUUGAAUUGGAAGGGUUCUAGCUAUCUUUUGGAGCUUAGGAAGAGAUUUUGCACUAGAGGUGAGUUUUCUCCACCUUAGCUUGAAAAGCUUAAUGUUUGAACUUAGUGUUGUUCGUAAGGUUCAUGUGACUCUUGUUUCUUUACCUUUAGGGUACUAGGAGGGUGGUGGACACCUUCGUCGGAGCAAACGAAGGGUUUCGUUUACCUUGGUGGGUUUGACUUCAUGAAAACGGAGCAAAAUGGCCCCUAUGCUUUCUAAACUCUUCGUAAAGUAUUUUUGAAUGCCAAUCCAUGCUAAACAUGAAUUAUAUGAAUUUUAGAGCAUUUAAAAUGCAUGCAUUAUGUAUGAUGAAAAUUGCCCUCUAUAUAGUAGAGCCACCUGUGUAGACCGCAUGCAUUAUGAAAGGUAUUUAGCUUUGCAAGUUGAGAACAUGUUUCCUAUGUUUGAAAUGAAUAGAAUUAUGUGUCAGGAACAUAAAAAUACCAUGCUUGAACUCGUUGAACAAUAGUGUCAUAAAGGGGCACUUGAAACUAGAAAACCAUGAAAUUGCAACAUAGAGACAUGAUGACAUAGUGAUGGGCCAUCGUCACGGUUGAUUCAUAUUCCAUGUUUUAGACAUGAGGACUUGAUACUUGAGACAUACUGAUACGCAUGCUUGUCAUUGUGCUCAUUCGCACAUGCUUGUGAGGGUCACUCCCUACAAGCCGGCACUCCGGAGUUGGCCAUUGCGAUACGUUCGCCGUGCGGGAUUGGGCGCCGAAGUGGAUUGCCGUGGGAAAGGCUCAUUCCUAGGGUAGGGAUGUUGACUAUCACGGGGCCAUUAGGCACGGUAGAGCCAGACAGCCUACGGGUGGGUCUUAUGCCAGACAGCCUUCGGGUGGGUCUCAUCAGAGCUGAACUUUAAACAGUUAAAGUUACAAGAUGAUAUUGACUAGAGUAGUGGACAUUGACAUUAUAGCUAUUCACAUUGUGGACAUUGGGAUAGUUGUAUACUCAAGUAACGAAAAGCACAAGCGGAAACAUACAAAAACGGCUUACACGAGGGUAAGCAAUAGCCAUGAGUGAAAGAAAGGAACUAAACAUUUACACAAGUUCUAUGAUUCACUUUUGAUCAUAUACAUGUAUUCAUUUCAUCCAACUUAUACAUUCACAAGUCUUUACAUUUCAUUACAUCACUUGCAUCAUUUCUUUUUACAUCACAUUGCCUCAAAAUAAAACUUUACAUUCUUUUCUCUCUUUGCUUUAUACAUAGACAUCUUCAAAUAUAAAAGAUGGAUACAGGGUAAACUACUAGCAAAAAGCAAAACCCGACUCGGGUAGUCACUGUCUAUGGCGCGAUACCUUUACCGCGGUCGCUCGCCAGCUCGCUCGAUCCCGACUCUGUAGAAAUGAUGGGGUGAGAACUACAACAAAGUUUUCAGUGGGUUCGGCCCCAAUCUCACCGAUUUUUCCACUAGGUCUAACUCAGGCAUAAUAGAAAGAAAGCAGAUAAGUAACCAACUAUACAAAUGCAACUAAUAUGCCUAAACAAUGCGAUCAAUAAUGAUGCUCAAUAUAAAUUCAUGAAGAAUGCAUGGUUCUUGUUCUUUGUUUCUUUGUUCUUUCGUUCAAUCCCAAGGCUAACCCGGGGGUAUCGCCUCAAUAACUCACCAACUCAAAGUCCAUGAUCGCGGGCCCUCACCUUCCUCCCGCUAGGACCGUCCUUUGGGGAACAGCACCAACCCAAUGAUGACAAACUCCGGAGCGCAUCGCCCUAGGGGGAGCGACCACCCUCAGGCAAGGACUUAUAGGCAAGUAUGAUCAAUCCUUAACUCUAAGGAUAUUCAGUUCAAUCUGUUCCUUAACUCUAAGAAAUUUUGCACAAAUGACCCUUAGCUCUAAGGUUGUAUGUCAUUGUGUCUCAAUCUCAUAUUCUUUGCAUUCUUUACUUUGAUCAUGCAAAUACACUAACUCUAGUGUUCUUUACAUUCUUUACUUUCAUUCAUAUCAUAAUACUAACUCUAGUGUCCUUUAUGUUCUUUACUUUGAUUCAUAUCAUAACACUAACUCUAGUGUUCUUUAUGUUCUUUACUUGAUGCUAACUCUAGCAUUGUCAUUCUUUAUUGUCACAUAUUUGCUAACUCUAGCUUUUCAUCAUUCUUUAUAGUAUAUUUGUUCUCUUGAUGUCAUACACUAGCUCUAGUGUUCUUUAUAUCAUACGUUAUGCUAAGUUUAGCCUUUCGUUCUCAACAUUUCAUUGUCCUCAUGUCAUAUGUCACUUAUUCUUUAACUUUAUAUUGUUCUCUUCAUCAUACAUGCAUAUAUAGGGUUAUUACAAUCUCAUUGGUUCUCAACCAUCUCAUGAUGCACUUGAUCUCACAAAAUGCAAACAUUCACAUGAUUAUCAUCUCUUUACCCUACUAUGCAUGCAACAACAUACUCAUGGAUGCUCAAGAAGUGACACAUUAGACAUAAAAGGAAUUUCAACAAGUUUGAAAAGCACCCCCCACCUCGUAGGGUUACUUUCAUGCUACGAUGAUUUUCUUGAGAUUUUUAGACUCCUCGUUCGCUACCUCCGGCAAAACGAAGCCAAAUUAGACAUUUUUGCUCAUAACUUUUCAUAAACUUUUCGUAACGUAAAUCCGAGCGCACCAACGCGUUCGUUUGGUCCCCAGUUAGGUUUCUAGAGGGUCAAUUUCACUUUGAAACCCUCACAAGCAAAAGCCCCAAAUUUGGGUGCCCUAGCUUCACAUAUAUCAAAACCUAGGGUUUGAUCUCAUUAGGAAGCGAAAGAAGCUUCAUUAUACUCUAGAGAGUCCAUCUAAAUCAUUCUUAGCUCAAUCAAAACCCUAGUUUGGGUUUCACCAUGAGAGGUUGAAGUUCACCUCACAGCUUCUUCAUAUAUACCCAAUCCAUGGUUUUGAUCUCUUAGAGAAGCAAAAGAGAGCUUCAAAUACUCAAAAGGUUCUACUAAAACCAUUUCUAGGUCAUUUGGUUCUCAUUCUAGGGUUCUACCAUGAAUGGGAUCAAAGCUUACCUCAAAGCUUCCCUUUCUUUGCUCCAAAGAGGAACACUACAACAAAAUAUGCGUUUAGUGGCAAAUUAAUAGCGGCGAUUAUGAAAUGGCUGCUAUUGAUCAAUAUUUGAUUAUACUUUAGUGACAAUUAUUUUAAAUUAUAAAUUUUUACCGACCAAUAUUAAUGUAUUAACUAUGCCUAUUCUAAAUCCAAUUAGGAAUCCUAAUAAUAACCCAAACCCGAGCCCACCCCAACCUAACCCGAUCCCACCCCUCUCCACCACCAUCACCUCCUCUCCGCCUCCCUCCAAUGGCGCCGCUCUCUCAAGCUCGAAACCCUAUCAUGCUUCCCCUCUCCUUCACCUCUCCUCUCUCCUCCCUUUCCUUCACCUCUCCGAUCUUUCCUCCUAAAUCGCCGUCGACCUCGCGUGCACCGGCGCCCGAUCUUCCUGGCCCCUCGUGCACAAGCGCCCGAUCUCUCCUCCGUCUCCUUCUCUUCGGCGCCCUCCGAUCCCUCCCUUCCCCCGCGUCGCCGCUUCUUGAAGGUGCGUCGCGUGACAGGUCGCCGUCACCAGCGACGUCUUGUCGUCGUCGGAGGCGGCGGCGGAGGAGGAGGCGGCGGCGGCGGCGAAGAUCGGGCGGUGGAUCCGCGUGAAGGCGCCGCUCAGGGUGUACCACGUGGCAAAGGCGCCGGAUCUGGAUCUGGGCGGGAUGGAGGGGACUAUCAAGCAGUACCACGGCGUGGGGAAGGGGAAGCGCAUCAACGCCAAUCUCCCCUUCAAGGUCGAGUUCCUGAUCUGAAUCGACGGCCAGGAUAGCCCUGUCAAGUUCUUCGCCCACCUCCGGGAGGACGAGUUCGAGUACGUGCCCUCCUCCGAUGGCCCUAAUUGAGAUCGCCCUUUUUGGGGUUUGUAUCGGUGAGAUCGGGGAACAAACACUAGCUCCUCCUCCUCCUCUUCCUCUGCAUAUUCAUAUCCUGAUUCUUUGGAGUUUCUUGAUAUCGCAGAUAAUUACGACGCUUGCCACUGCGGUAGUCCGGUGGAUUAAACUCUCAUUGCAAGGUGGUAUUUUAUAUCUUUUUAUUCAAGGACUAUUAUUAUUUUUUAUUUAUUAUAUCAUUUUUUUUCCUUUUUUAUUUUACUAGAAUAGAUUAUAUUUUGGUUCUCAAUCUAUAAAACGUGUGACAUUUGGUUCUACUAUUUUGAAUUCUUCGGUUAACUUCAUCAUAAUAGCAAGGCACUUCUACUUAUUCAUCAACCAAGUGAACCAUGUGUAGAAUAAUGAGUGGUUCAAUCACUGUUAGCAACUAGAUUGUUGGUUCAUUCCAUUAGCUCUGAUCUACACUUACAAAAUUAAAGUACCGUUUAUUGAUUCCAUUGGUUAUGAGUAUUUUAGAGUUUCUUAAUUCUUUGGCACAUUGGAAUCAUGAUUUUGCGAAUGACGCUUCAAGCUAUAUGAAGCACAGAUUGUUUAGGUAUUUGGCCUGGUAUCUAAGUACUUACAGUGGUCUUUUUGAUAUGAUUUUGCAUAUGUUAUUUUACUAGUUUAUAACUAUAUAAAGAAGCUUCUACUAUAAUUGUUCUCAUCUUACAUCUCUAUGAAUCUCUCAUAUUAUGCUCUUUGUUGUGGAUUGAUCAACCUCUUUCUUCGAUUAAUUGGUGAGUUUGGCAUGAAAUUUUGGUAACUAAUAGUUUAAUGUAGUUGGAACAUGCUUUUGCUUGGAGCUUUUGAUGCUUGUGGUUUUUUGGUUGUAUGAGUGAGUCUAAAGACUACUUUAGGUGAUUUUUUUGCAAGCGAAUGUGAAUGUUGAGAAUUGGUUGAGUUGAUUCUAUUAAUGUUAUGUCUCACGAGUCUCUUGGUCACUACUUUUGCUGAGUAAAGUAUUGCUGGUGUGUUAAGUUCUGGACUUUGUGCUUCCAAAACAAUAAAUUUAUCACUAGAUGAAUCACCCUAUGUUAUGACUUGAGAAGUCAAGUGUCAGAUCCUUGUCUAGUCAUCAAUGUAGCAUCUUGCGGAUUCCAUACACCACAGCCGCUAGUAUAUUGUACUUAAUGUGGCUUCCUAAAUGAAUAGUGGCAGUGACUAGUGCUUAUUAUGACUUGAGAUGUCAAGUGUGAUAUCCUUGUAUAGUCAUCAAUGUAGCAUUUUGAGGAUUUCAUACAUCGUAGCUGGUGAUAUAGUUUCUUCACAUAGAAAGCUUUCUAUAUGAAUAGUUGCAAAUUUUAUUAGCAUAACUGGUUUAGCUAUUACAUCAAAGGUAAAUUACAUCUUUAUUGAUAUGCCGCUUGCCUAGAAUGUACUUCACACAGAUAAAUUGUUCUCCUCUUUCUUUCAUCUUAGUUUAAAUAUCUCUCUUAUGUGUAGGAUAUUUGUGGACCUUCCUAACGCUGGGAACCGAACGAAAAUCCUAAAGAUUAUUUGUAAUAUGUCGAAACCCGACUACAUUGCUAAUCUUGAUCAAAAUGACCAAGAUGAUGCAAAAAUAGAAAUUAAAUGCUUCCAAAUUAAAUUGGUAGCUUGGGCAUAGAGUUUAGCAUGUUUUGGAAGUGUUUGGAUGAAUUCGGAGUGAGCUGGAUGUGAGAAACGAGCUGCCAAAGCUGCUGCUGCCAGCAGGGACUGAAUUGCGAACCUGCAGGGACUGAAAUGUAAACUGUAGUAUUGUAAUGCACUUUUGCUGAAUUGAAGGGUUAAAGAGCAAUUGUUUGUUCUUGCCACUUAACCCCAGCCCCCUAGAAAAUGUCCACGUACCAGCACCCCUCUCCAAUGCUUCUUUUCAUUUUUUUUUUCCUUUCUUUCUCUCUCAGCCCUUGGAGCAGAGAAGUGAAGAAAAGCUUGUGAAGUUGAGUUUUCUUGUUGUUGGAGCUAAGAAGAAACUCUGUGGGACUGAAAAGAAGGCUUUUGGAGCUGAGAAAUCCCUUGGGGAAGCUUUAAAUCCAGGUAAGCUUGAUGCCUAAUUCCCUGGUUGAGUAGUAUUAGUGAUUGUGAAGCUGAUUUCCAAAGUGAUCUUGGUAGACUUGGGUUUUGAACUUGAUAGGAGCUGCCGAAGUGGGAAACCAGCUGAGGAAGCUUGGAGUUCGAGGUAGAAGACUUGCUUCUCAGCUAGGAUAAAGGGUAAUUGCUUCAUAGAAGCCUCUAAAUGGUUAAAAUUGAUGUAUGUAUGCAGAAAUUCAAGUAGAAGCUGUUGGUGGGAUGCCUUGUGGAGGUUUUGGGCGCCCAGAUUGAGAGAGGACCUGAGGGAGCUUCUUUGGUGUUUCGAAUUUCAGAAAAUCUGGUGGAGCCUUGAAGCUAGGUAAGAUGGAUAAUUAUUCCUUGGUUUAAGUGAUAUGAAUUACUCAAAAAUGGAAUUGUAAAUAUUAGAAUCACUAACUUUAACCUUGUAUAAAGGGCUGAGAGGGGAAAUGUUGAAGUGCUGAAAUUACAACUUUGGUGGAGCUUCUUUUGGUGUUCUGAGCUGAAAGGAAGCUUUAGAAAGCUGAGAGCAACUUAGUAAAGCUUCUAAUUCAGGUAAGAAUAGUGUCUAUCCCUGAAUUGAGUAAUGUUGGGUGUUAUAAAGAUGAUUCCUGUAACGUAUCACUUCCCCGUAAGUCGUGCCGAGUUCCGUCGAAAUGAGCGGAACGCGGAAAUGGAUGAUUUACUAUAGGCUAAAGUGCAUUGGAGUCUAUAUAUGAAGUAUAAAGGGACUCAAGAGAGUGAAACUGUAAUUCUGGAGAAGUUCCAAAAAUUUUACUCUCGGGGACCGGUCCCUUGGGUGAGAGACCGGUUCCCGAAUGUUGAUCAGUCGAACGAGGUGAAAAAUCAGCAAAGUCCUAGAAAUUGAGCUCUCGGGAACCGGUCCUUCGGCGGGAGACCGGUCCUAGGAGACCGGUUGCGUCGGGGGGAGACCGGUCCCCUUCUGCGCAGAGUGCAGGAUAGCUCUCGGGAACCGGUCCCUGAAGGGAGAGACCGGUCCCCGAGCCCGAAAUUGCCCAGUGAGGGCUGGUUGCAGAGAUGAAAAGUUGAGGGGUUUAAGUGCAAAUGUUACAUGAGAUGGUUGUAUAGAGGUGAGGGUUAGGGUUAGCCCUCAUUUCCCUCACACCUAAACACAAGCCUUCCCUCUCUCUCUCUAAAAACCUCUCCUCUCCCUCUCCCUCUUUCUCUAGGGCUUGGACUAAGAGAGGUUUUGGAGGAGAAAAGUUUGGAAAAGAAGCUCUCCAAGGUGUAGAGCAAGCUUGAUCAAGGCUUUGAAGGAAAGCUUUGGGCUCAAAAAGGUGAGUUCUUGUGAUUUUAAGUUAGGUUUUGGGUUUUUGCUUCUAGUUGAAGCAUUUAGGAAUGUCUAUGGUGGUUUUCCUCCAUGUUUCGUCAAGCUAGGGGCUUGAUUGGAAAAGAUGACAUUGUGCAAGGACCUAUAUUUAGGGUUUUAUAAUUUUGAGGUUCAAACUUGGAUUUGAUCUCAUUUUAACCUAAUUGGUAGGUCUACGAUCGCAUCGGUGCGCUCGGUUCGGCGAUACUACGAGCGUGCGUGAAGAUAUUAAGAAAACAAGCUGAAAUAAUACAGAUCGUCGUAGCUCGCGGCGAACAAGUUUAGAAAUCGUGAAACCUGGACCACGGCAUCCUUGUGACACAUAAAGGUGGCGGGUGCUAUCCGGAAACACCGGAUCUCUUUCUAUGUCUAUGUCCCUUCUUUGAGCAUAUUAGUAUUAUAGCAUUUUUGCAUGUAGGGUAAUGAACAGCAUAUGUUGGUUGUAACAAUUAUCUGCGAAGAUUAUUGUAAUGAUAUAGAACCAUGUGAAUAAGGAAAGUGAAAGACCCUAUAUGCAUGUGAAUGUGAGAAAUGAUUAUGACCGUAGUAAACAAAGACGACAUUGAUAUUAGUGACUCUAUUGACAUCGAAAAGAGAAUAGUUAAACAAGGUUUAACCCGAGUGACAUUAUGUGUAUUGUGGCAUUAGGACCAUUAUGACAUCGGCAAAUGAUAGUAUGUGCAUGAAUAGGUAUUAACCAUUCAUCGGCAUUGAGACAGUGAGAAUUGUGACAGGUUGGCCAAACCUCCUCAAAUUGAGGAUGGGAUCAUACUCACAUGUAUUGGUUCCGGCUUAUGCGAGGUCGCUCCUCCACAAGCGGUGUACUCCGGAGAAGAAAAGCACCACGGGUGGAAGUGCCCGGCGAAGAUCCUUCAGGUGGUUGUGCCUUGUGUCUCCCCCGUUAGACAGGAUAUGCGGACUGUGUGUUGGGAUAAACCAGGAGCACCCCAGGUUGAUUGGGUAAAGGCCAAAGGAAUGUGAAAAGGACAUGCAUGCAUAAUUAUCAUGUAUUUGAAUAUGAAUAUCUAUUUGUGGAUUACUUUCUUGCAGGCAUUGUAUUAGAAGUGCAUUAGUUGGUUUGUUAUUCUUCUUUAUUGAAAUACAUAUGCCUGAAUUAGACUGUCAUACACUGAACUUUUGCAAAUUGCGAAGUUCGAGUAUGUGGAAUGGUGUGUGGAUCAAUCCAACAUGUUCUAAAAGGUUAGAACAAAUUUUUGGAUAAGUUAGAGGAUGAUUGGAAUGUUAAAAGUGAGAAAUUAUAUUGAUCUGCGAAAAUCAGGGUUUUCUGCUUGCUGUACCGGUACAGCCAUCACCUUGUACCGGUACAGCAUUGGCAGAUUCGUGGCAGCAGGGCUGUUUUGGUCAUUUCACACUUGAUCCCUAUCUAUUAGACCCCAGCUCGACCUGGGAUACUCAGUGGAGCCUGCUGGAGUCCAGAGAAGUGUUCUCCCAUCUUUCUCUUUCUCUCUCUCUAGGGUUUUUCUCUCUCUANNNNNNNNNNNNNNNNNNNNNNNNNNNNNNNNNNNNNNNNNNNNNNNNNNNNNNNNNNNNNNNNNNNNNNNNNNNNNNNNNNNNNNNNNNNNNNNNNNNNUGAAGAGAUUGCGGAACCGUGAGAUUCCCUAUGUGAAGAGUGCUUUGGAGCAACACGACGAGCGCGAGGCCACUGGGAGUUGGAGAGCGCACUGCGGGAGCGCUAUCCCUAUCUCUUUCAGAUGGAGGCUUGAAGUACUUUACUUUUUGAGUUUCGCGGACGAAAACUCCUUUUUAGGAGGGGUGAAUGUAAUACACUGACCUUUGCAAAUUGCGAGGUUCAAGUGAUUGCUUGUGUUUCGAACUUUUUCAUACUUGGUGAGGUGUCACGCCCGGGUCGAUUUUAAAAGUCUUUUUAAAACAGAGUUGCGGAAAACGUGCCAUUUUUUUUUUUGAAAAUACCGUCUUUCUCAACCUGGCCACGCGACGUACAGACCCGCACAUACAAAGUUCCUCUGUCACUAUCGGACAGAGUCUCCUUUGUAUUGGCACGGCGUACCAACAGAUACAACAGGAUCUCAACCAAACUCUACAUUUAAACCAACAACAACCAAAGCAUGAUAUGCAUUUUCAUACAGCUAACAAUCCUUAGAAGAUGCAUGCCUCUAAGCACUCCUUAGGCGCUGGAUGAUGUAAUGCACAAUACAACAAACAUCCUAUUUAAAAGUGCUCCCACACGGAAGCUUUUGUUUUAAACUCUAAUUCAUUCAUUCAUAAAAACCGUUCGAAACCUUUUUAAAACUGUUUCCCACACGGAAACUCUAUUUGAAAACCGACUACCUCGAGGGGUAGAAAACCACGAUGCAUAACUACAAGAAAACCAAAUCUCCACAGAACGCAAAACCACAGAUCGAAAAUCCAAUCUCAUGUAUAAUAAAACAUCCAUAAUCUCAUGCAUAAACGGAAUCACCACAUUAACAUCUAACUGAACCAUUUAUUAAGAAAACUACUAAGUGCGGGAAAGAAAUAACCAGGGUGACGGUCGCUACUGCCGUCUAACUAGAUCGUCUCUCGUCGAGCCCGAAAUCCAACUCCUCGUCUCUGUAACCUGGGGGGGGGAAAGGGGGUGAGAAACCGCAACCAUGGUUUUCUCAGUGGGUACGACAGAGCCACGAAGGCAAGUCGUAAUCACCGAAACCAAAGGAGAUAGAUAAACAAGUAUAUAACUGUAAGCUGAUAUGAAAUAGAACUACAGUAGCUACAACAGAUAAAUAGGAAGCAAUAAUAAACCUUCUACUGUAUAGAAAACAAUGCAAAGAAUGCCUCAAUGUACUGAACCAGAAACUGUACCCAAUCUGUGCUGCUGAUCGGUUCGUAGACCUCAAGCGCUACAUGUCCUAACUCAGACCGCCUGAUCCAUCCGCCCCCGCAGGACGACCUAUCCGGAUAAGUAACCUCCGAUCGGUGGCCAACCGAUACCGGUGUCAUGAAUACCCCAAGUGCCGUGACUAAGUCAUGCUGGUAAUGCUCAACAAAAACAAACCCGACUAAAAGCCGUGCCUAGGCCGAAGCCAACAACGAGGGCGUACAAUGCCAAAUGAAAUAAAAGCUAGGGCGUACAACGCCGAACCGAAAUAAGAUGCUAGGGCGUACAACGCCGAACCUCGAUCAACCAGAUCGAAACACAACCACAAGAGAGUCGAUGUGUUGCCUGACCCAAGGUCCACAGAGAUACUGAAAUACAAAUGCAACCUGCUCUACAUGUCUAUCAUCACUAACCCAUGGCAGUCAACGAAAUACGAUAGCCAAAUGAUACCAAACACUGACAUGUAGAGCUAAUAUACUGGAAUAGAAAAACAGGAAGAAGAGGUGAAACUCUCACCGACUACCACUCGAGAGCACCACCUGUCACUGUCGGCUCGGAACACGGAGUACGCACAAGUCUACCGGACCUAAGAAGAUCCACACAAGUCAGUAUCCAAACCACUCACCCAAAGCACGAGACUCACAACCCCCACAAGGAUCCCGUAAUCGGUUUCCCAAAACCGAUCCCGUAACUCACGGAAGUCCCGAAAACACACACGGGACGCCGUCGGGACCGCACUAAGUGUCCGAACUCACACGACUCGUACCACGAGUCACCUGCUGCCCCAACAUUCCAAUUUGGAUUGCCCUGGCAGUGAAACACAAGGUAACACAACAAUACGGUCAUCGCCGGAUAAUCGUACGAAUCCGGGUUUCCGGAGUGUCUAUUUCGACACGAAACCCUCCGUCGCUCACCCAUCAUCAUCGACACCACAAAAUGAUGAUGGUGACCAGCAACAAGGCUCAGCGAUGAAACCACGAAGCAAAACCAAACACCGUCGGAAAGAAUCCGAACCGAAACGCGCGUUCUUUCGGCGAAUUUCGCCGAAAAACGCACCGAAAUCGACUACGAUUCUCGCGAAAGCUAACGGACCAUGACAAUCAGUCGAGCGAUCAUAACAAACUCCCACACACUGCCCACAGUAGCCACGCAAAGCAGCAAUCGCAUAAAGAGACCUCUAAUUAACAUAAAUAAUCGUCAUUUUAAUGUAAUUUUGAGGCGAUCAAGCGGCUCGUUCACGCAAACCGAGGACUUCAAGUCCGCAGAGACACGUACUGACAGGUCUCGACGUACCGGAGUCGGUGCUCACGAUCCGGAGCACAGCGGCUCGCUGUGGGAAGCGCGGGAGCAACGCCGAAGGUUCAGCGAAUAGCGCGCAGUCAGGGAGAUCGCGCCGAACAGAAUAACCGGACACUUCUGAUCCAAGGGAAGGUGAGCUUGUGAUCAGCACUGACCCACGAUCACCGUGCUCAACCUCCGGAGGCAUCAGGACAGCCUCGGAUCGCCGGGUAAGCGUGCGCAAGCCCAAAUCAGCAGCCCAAACAGGCUGAAAGGAGCGCAGCGGAUGAUUGACUCGAGGCCGAGUCGGGUGGUUAGCUUGAUUAGGUUAAUAGAAACCUAAAGGUAAGAGCUGAGGUAAUAGAAACCUUAGAGUAAUGUGAAUUUGAGUUGUGAACUGAGGUAAUAGAAACCUUAGAGUAAAGAAAUAUGAGCUAAGGUACCUAAGUAAAAGUAGAAUUCAAAUGAUCUACUAGAUGUUGCAUAGAGUUGAAUGACUUGCAUAUUGCAUAUUGUUAGGUCUAACAUGUAUUUCAAUUGAAUAUAUUUGCAUUGUAUAUUGUUGAACUAACAUAUUGCAGGGCCUUCUUAGACCUUUUGGUCGAGCUUUUCCCUUGGGUGGCCGUACCCACUGGGAACCAUGGAGUUGGUUCUCACCCCACGUUGUUUUGGGGUGUUUACAGGUUGUACGAGUGCGGCGCGGCGGCGCGAGGCAAGGGCGUAGCUCCGUAGAUAGCGCCCUACCCAGAGACUAGAGCUAGCAGUACCCCGUCGACAUAGCUUAGGGGUUAAGGAAUGAAAGGAACAUAAUAUAUCAAAUUUGUAAUGAGUAAUUUGUAAUAACUAGAUUGCAUUUGGAUGAAAAAGAAUGUAAAAAGAAUUGUAAUGUAAAAAUAUGUGAAUGUGAAUGUAUGUAAUAAUAUAGGAUGUGUUAUGUUGUUGAUACCUUCCUUAUGCAAUCUGUUUGUUGAAUACUGUUCCUGGUUGGAACCUUCGUAUUGUAUUGAUUGCGUUGCCUUAAAUGUACAGGGGAAACCCUGUCCAUUCGGUGCUGUCGGCGGUGUCGCGAACCUGACCAAAGAGGCGGGGGUCGCGGGUCGUGACACAUAUGUUAUCGAGUUAUUGAUUCUCUUGCAUAAUCGUUUAGGUAGAAUUUGAAGAGGAUUGUAUAAAGAACCAUGAUUGUUAAUCUAUUUUCUUUUCCUUUUCUUGGGCUGAUUGCAAAUUUAGUUCCUAGAGUUUAAAUUGAUUUCAAUCUUUUGUCCUUACAGCUACAUUUGUAGCAAUUUAGUCCACAAUCUUUGCAGCCCACAAUAGUCAAAUUCUUAUGUUAGUCUCCAGUCUGAAAUAUGAGCAAACUCCACAUACUAAAUUUUUUUACCUAAUCUUUCCUUUAUAUAAUUUAAGGAGCUCUUGUAGUUUAAUUAUGCUUUUCUACUCUGUAAGUUCUUGUCAGAGUAAACUUAAUUUAAAAUGAGAAAGAACUACAAAAGCUCAAUUGUACAUUCAUGCCCAAUAUAUAUGAACAUGAUAGACACAUCAAUUUAAGGAUUCUAAACUCUUAAAAUCAACUACAAAAGCUUAAUCUCGUAGUUGAUCAAAAUCCCAAUUUUUGAAGCCUCGUAACAUGCAACUAACUCAUCAAAACCUCUUAAAAAUAAAAGCAAUUCAUAUAACUAUGUAUUGGUCCCUAAAUUCAAGUAGAAAGAACUAAAAGUUAAUUAUCAAAAAUCUCAUUUUGGGCUCUUAGGGUCCCAACCCUAAAAUCACAAGAAAAUUUCGUAAUAGGGCAAAAACCCUCAAUUUAGGACUUCAAUAUUUGAAUAUAGUGUCAUAAAAUCUUCAAAAACUAUAACCAAUCCAUAAAGGAUAGCUUGGGACCUUCAAAGAGAAUAGAAAAAUAUGCAUGCAACUCAAAAUAUUCAUUCUUUGAUACUCACAAAGCACCAAACCGAAAAUUUACUUUGUUCUCUAGCUAGAGUUUCAACUUGAAUAUGGGUUUCCUUCUCCAAAGGUUCUGCUCCUAAAUCCCUUCAAUUUGAAGGAAAAAUCCUUCAUCUCAUUACCAAGUAGAAGAGAGGAGAAAUAGGGUAUUGAGAGAAAGGGGAAAAUGGAAGAAAAGAAGAAGGGAAUGGGGAUAGAAGAGUUUUUCUCUUCUUCCAUUCAAACCAGCCCACUUAAGGGCGUUUCUAUAAUUUUACUCAAUAUUUUCUUGGGAAAAAUUAUGGUUGGACCAAUAGUUAACGAGCUAAAUUGAUAAGCUAUAAUUUUAAUUAGUAAUUUUACCAAACUACCCAUAACAGUUGGUGAAAUCCUGAACAAGCUCGCAGCUCAGGGCUGUACCGACGACUAUUAGAAAAAUUGCAAUAACUCUUUCGUCCGAUAUCCGUUUAAGGUGAUUCAGGUUACGUUAGAAAGAUAACUCGACGAUCUUUCCAACAAGACCAAUUUCGCCUGAAUCGGAUGUCGAUAACCUGGUUAAAAGUUUUCCCAAAGUGGCUGGUGGUGCAAUAACAGAUUAGACUCAACUGUUUUGAAAUUUUCAUCCUCAAAUAAUUCGUUUCGAAAUUUUCGUCCUCAAAUAACAUUUGUAAUUAAGCUUUUAAUUGUUGCAUAAAGAGUAGUCUGAUAAUUAAGCAAUGGAUAUUUAGAAAAAGAAAAAAAAAACUCAAAACAAUAAACCUAAAACAGAAUCAAAUUAUACAAUUAGAAUGCUUAAUUAGUUCAAUGCAUACCAUAUAUCAUAGUUCAAUGAACACCCUGUUUCAUAGAUUUCAACAAUUUUCUCGAUUAAACUUGCGUGUCGGAUCAAAGAUAAGACGAAAGUUGCCCAUUCCAAACAGAUUUGAGUCUAAUAUUGAAAUUCUUGGACUGAUUCGGCGAGAUAAAUGCGAUAUUGCGAAGUUAUCAUAUCCAAUCACACAAAUGCUGCAACAAAUCAUCAAAACAAGAAACGUGUAAGGAGAUUUAGCGAUUAGGGCAUACAUGCAAUCCGGAGAUCGUAUCCCAGCAGGAUAGGGGCUUGAUCCCCUCAUCGUUGUAGAGGUUUUGGCAGAGCGAGAGCUUCUUCAAGUGAGAGAGAAGCGCGACGCGGGGAUCGAGCUUGGAUAGGCGAUUGGCCGUGAGGUCCAACUCCUCGAUGUUCUCGGGGAUCUCGACCUCUCCGAGAUCGUGGAGUUGGUAGCUCAUGAGAUCAAGGCACCGCACCUCCUCCUCCUCGACCUCCUCCUCCAUUGGCUCUUCGUCUCUAGCAGCUCGAGCUCGAGCUCGUGGUGAAAAAAAGAAAAAGAGAGAGAGAGAGAGAGAGAGAGAGAGAGAGAGAGAGAGAGAGAGGUGAACAUAAAGAGCUCAGAGAUGGAGAUCGAGGGGAGAGAGAGAUAGAGAGAGAGGUUAUUUGAAAUAUAGGGAGAGCUAAUAUGAAAAGUGUUUAUUGCCCAAGGUUGGCCCAUGGCCCAAUUGAUGGAAAAAGUUAAUAAAAUAUAGUCCCAUUGGUCCAAUAUUAUUUAUAAAUUUGAGAACUAUCAUCAUAUAUACCAGCGGUUUAGUAACUGCUACAAUAAAAAUAAAAAACGUUGGUAUAAUAUACUUUUAGCGGUAGUUAGCCUAAUUGUUGGUAAAAAAAUUGUUGGAAGAAGCUCUAUUUAUUGUAGUGAGAGACUGGUCCCCCCAGUGAGCAGUGUUGCGGCGGCCUUGGGGCAACCGGUUCCUGACGGGCGAGACCGGUCCCCGAGCGCGUCCACGCGGGGAGAGACCGGUCCCGAGCGGGGAGAGACCGGUUCCCGAACGUCGGGUUUUCGAGGCAGGCUGAGAGACCGGUCCCGUGCAGGGAGAGACCGGUCCCUCUGGGCGAAAAUUGCCCAGACCGGACUGAUGCAAUAUUGGAUUUUUGAGGGCCCUCUUUGGAUUUUGUUACACUAGAGGGCAUAUAUGGCUACUUCUUCCUCUCUUCUCCCUCAUUCCACCAUUCCCUUUGCUCCUAGAGAGAGAAGAAAAAGAAGGAGAGGAAGAAGAAAAAGGAGAGAGCUUGUUGGACGCUUGGAACUUCACCCACACUCUCUCUUCUUCCUUUUGGUGGCUUGGAGCUUGGAUUUGGAACAUUGUUGAGGAAAGAUCUUGGAACCUAGAGGGUUUUGAACCUUGAUUAAAGCUUCUAAGAGGUAGGUAACUUGUUCUUUCCCCAAGAUUUCAUAAUUUGAAGGGUUUUAGUAGAUGGAACCCUAGAAUGGGAAUUUAGGGUUGAUUUUAGGGCUUUUUGAUUUAGGGCUUUUGAGGCUAAAUUUCUUGGAUUAGAACCCUCCUUUGGGUUAGAUUGGAAGGAUCCUAACCUUCUUUCGGAGCUUGAGAAAGAUUUUCUACUCCCUAGGUGAGUUUUUGCCCUAUUCUUGUGAUUGUUAAUGUUUGAGCCUAGAGUUGUUCGUAACGCUUGUGUAUCUCUUCGCUCAUUACUUUUAGGGUAUUUUGAGACUCGUGGACAACUCCGUUCGGCGGAUCGGAGGACACUGCGACGGUUCGGUGGGUUUGACCUAGCCUGGCAUAUGAGAAAUCCUCAUAUCUCAUGUUUUAUGCUCGUAGAGUAAAAAUUCAUGCAUUACCAUGAUAAACAUAUUUAUUGUGAAUUUUAGGAUGCGUAACAUGCCUAUAUUAUGUAUAAGAAGUUUCGGGCCCCUAUAUAGCAGAGGGCUACCUUGUGGGACUUGUACAUGAUUGGCAUCCUAUUGAGACUUGGAAUCAUAUUUCUUAUUGUGAAAAGGAGCAUUACCUUCAUGCAUUUUAAACUAUUUCUACUUGAGACUUAAAGGAUUUUAGUAAGCCAUAAAGAGGCAUAUGACAAGAUUGACAUGUGAGAUCGUGAGCUAAUGUCAUAAAGCGGCAUUGAGCUCGGGUUGUUUGUGAACCUAAUGGAUAGGGCCAUUGAGAGAAUUGGAACAUGUUGUGCAUCGAAAUGUCUAAGUGUCAUAAAGGGGCACUAGACCUAGUGAGAGUUGGAACUUCACCUUGAGACAUAGAACUAGAUCGUUGGAUGCUAGUGGCUAUUACCAUGCUAGAGACAUGAUGAUUGGAUACUUGAGACGAUGAUUUCACUUGCUUGCCAUUUGUGCUCAUUCGCACAUGCUUGUAAGGGUCGCUCCCUACAAGCCGGCACUCCGGAGUUGGCCUACGCGACUUAUGUUUGGGCGUGCGGUAUCGAGAAACCUAUGGGGUCGGGAGGGAUAGACUCAUUCCUAGAGUGGAAAUGCUCGAGCUACCACCGACACUUAGGUGGCACAAGCUGGACUACAAUAUGUAGGUCCUAAAAUACGUUGGAAAUAAUGACAUUGAACCGAAAAUUGACUAUCACUACUAGAUAGACUUAGUAGUUGGAUUACCUUUACAUGCUUAUAGCAUAGCGUUGGGACUUGUAGUAUACAUGAUAAUCUCAUACAUUGCAUCAUAGUAUACUUGUUAUCAUGAUAAAGCAUAUUCAUCAUACAUUGGCAUAAUGGACCAUGAUACCUACUUGUUCGUUAUGUUUAGACAUAUUAGUCAUGCUUGGACUUGCUUCAUUGGGAUAAAGUAUAUGUACACACUUUCAACAUCAUGUUUAUUUGUGAUAUAGUAGCUUAGCAUCUAAUUAUGCUUUCAUAAUGCAAUUAUUUCAUUACUAUUGCCUUGUUGACUUACCUUUUCUUUUGGGGCCUAGUGGUGCAUUGAGCUGAGGUCAGUAAUUGCCCACUGGGAACUAUAAAUUAUAGUUCUCGCGCCCUCUGCUUUAUGUUUUCUUUCAGAGCCUUCCACGCCGGGAGAGGCUAGGGACCGUGGGAAGGGCGUUGCUUCGAGCUAGCUCUUCUGCGAGAGACGAGUGGAUAGGUGGUCUACCCUCGAUGUUUUUAUUUUGGAGAGGUUGAGAGCUGUACCAGUGCAAUAGAGACCACCCCUUUUUGUACUAUUUUAGGAGAUGAUAUUGUACUACUAUAUGUUCUACUCUUAUUGUUUCAGUAUACCUCUUUUACCUUGUUAUAGACUAUAGAUCUAUCUGUGCUCUGAUAUCUCUAGAUGUAGGUUACCUUUGGUUUUAUUUUCCGCUGUUGUUGUAGACACCUUAUAUGUGCUGACAUAUGGCGGGUCUGGGCACGCUACCGGGAAGGCUUCUGCCGGUCCCGGGGCGUGACAAAUUAGAUGUCAUCCAUGCAAGAUCAAGUUAUUGUUUAACUUGUCUCUAUAGGGUUCUAUGUCACAAACUCAUUCUCAUGCAUCCUAAGUUCACAUGCCAAGCUUACUACGCCGCAAUACAAGGGAGCAUGCAAGAAUAGUAAAAGUAACAUCUAAAUACCCUAACAUGCAUGAUACUAUAUAUGUAGGAUGUUCAACAUAGAAAUACUUAGACAUAGGGAGAAGCCCAGUUGCUUCGGGAUGACACCCCCCACCUUUUAUCGCUAUCACGAGGCUAGGGUUUCGAUUUCGUGAUUUUUGGAAGCUUUCGCCGCAAGCUGCGGCAAUCUGUACCUUAACGGCUUCGUUCUUUAAUAUCUUCACGUAGCCUCGUUGUAUCGCCGAACCGACUUCGCCAACGCGUCAGAAAACCUAG